AAGAGAGAGACAUGCGCGCAUAUCAAUAAGCGGAGGAAAAGAAACUAACAAGGAUUCCCUUAGUAACGGCGAGUGAAGCGGGAAGAGCUCAAAUUUGAAAUCUUCAAGGUUUUACCUUGACGAAUUGUAGUUUAAAGAAGUGUUUUCUGCUGAAGUUUUGGUAAAAGUUCUUUGGUAUAGGACAUCAUAGAGGGUGAGAAUCCCGUAUUUGACCAUUAUUUUCAGCUUUGUGAUACACUUUCAAAGAGUCGGAUUGUUUGGGAAUGCAGUCCAAAAUGGGUGGUAAAUUUCAUCUAAAGCUAAAUAUUGGCGAGAGACCGAUAGCGAACAAGUACCGUGAGGGAAAGAUGAAAAGAACUUUGAAAAGAGAGUUAAACAGUACGUGAAAUUGUCAAAAGGGAAGCGUUUGACACCAGUGUUGUUUUCUCGAAAAUCAAUUAAAAAUGGCUCGAUUUUGUAUUGCUUGAGACCUUAAAAGCUCACUGUACAUUUUUCGUGUCUUUUUUAAUGCACUUUUCGUUUAACAAGUCAACAUCAGUUUCUUUUGUUGUAAAAGGGUCAUUGGAAGGUGGCUUUCUUUUCGGAGAAAGUGUUUAUAGCCUUUGGCCUCUGCAAUCGGAGAGACUGAGGUCUGCAGCGUAGACUCUUCGGGGUUAGAUACAUUUGUGCUAAGUUAUAGCUUUUUAUAGACAACUUGUUGACUAUAAUUAGUCUUGUAGCUUACUCGCUUAUGCUAUUUUACCUACGCUUAGGAUGUUGAAGAUGUAGCACAUCAU
rnacentral:rRNA from 1 species